CACGUGGGUAACCUGCCCUUAAGUGGGGGAUAACAUUUGGAAACAGAUGCUAAUACCGCAUAGAUCCAAGAACCGCAUGGUUCUUGGCUGAAAGAUGGCGUAAGCUAUCGCUUUUGGAUGGACCCGCGGCGUAUUAGCUAGUUGGUGAGGUAAUGGCUCACCAAGGCGAUGAUACGUAGCCGAACUGAGAGGUUGAUCGGCCACAUUGGGACUGAGACACGGCCCAAACUCCUACGGGAGGCAGCAGUAGGGAAUCUUCCACAAUGGACGCAAGUCUGAUGGAGCAACGCCGCGUGAGUGAAGAAGGCUUUCGGGUCGUAAAACUCUGUUGUUGGAGAAGAAUGGUCGGCAGAGUAACUGUUGUCGGCGUGACGGUAUCCAACCAGAAAGCCACGGCUAACUACGUGCCAGCAGCCGCGGUAAUACGUAGGUGGCAAGCGUUAUCCGGA
rnacentral:rRNA from 2 species